AACGAACGCUGGCGGUCUGCUUAACACAUGCAAGUCGAACGAACUCUUCGGAGUGAGUGGCGGACGGGUGAGUAACGCGUGAGAAUCUGCCUGUGGGUCGGGGACAACUACUGGAAACGGUGGCUAAUACCGGAUGAGCCGAAAGGUAAAGAUUUAUUGCCUACAGAUGAGCUCGCGUCUGAUUAGCUAGUUGGUAAGGUAAAAGCGUACCAAGGCGACGAUCAGUAGCUGGUCUGAGAGGAUGAGCAGCCACACUGGGACUGAGACACGGCCCAGACUCCGUACGGGAGGCAGCAGUGAGGAAUCUUGGACAAGUGGGGCAACCUGACUCCAGCCAUCGCCGCGUGAGUGAUGAACGGCCCGUAGGGU
rnacentral:rRNA from 1 species